rnacentral:rRNA from 1 species
AUUGAACGCUGGCGGCAGGCCUAACACAUGCAAGUCGGGCGAGCGGCGGACGGGUGAGUAAUGUCUGGGAAACUGCCCGAUGGAGGGGGAUAACUACUGGAAACGGUAGCUAAUACCGCAUACCAUCGGAUGUGCCCAGAUGGGAUUAGCUAGUAGGUGGGGUAAAGGCUCACCUAGGCGACGAUCAGUAGCCGGUCUGAGAGGAUGACCAGCAACACUGGAACUGAGACACGGUCCAGACUCCUACGGGAGGCAGCAGAGGGGAAUAUUGCACAAUGGGCGCAAGCCUGAUGCAGCCAUGCCGCGUGUGUGAAGAGGGCCUUCGGGUUGUAAAGCACUUUCAGCGAGGAGGCGUUACUCGCAGAAGAAGCACCGGCUAACUCCGUGCCAGCAGCCGCGGUAAUUC